rnacentral:rRNA from 1 species
GCCCAUGCUUGCCUUAAAGUCAUCAGAUCCCAUCUGAUCUUGGAAGCUAAGCAGGGUUAAUCCUGGUUAGUACUUGGAUAGGAGACCACCAAUUAAUAUCAGCUGCCAUGGGCU